GACGAACGCUGGCGGCGUGCUUAACACAUGCAAGUCGAACGGAAAGGCCCUGCUAUUGUGGGGUGCUAGAGUGGCGAACGGGUGAGUAACACGUGAGUAACCUGCCCUUGACUAUGGGAUAACUUCACGAAACUGGGGCGAAUACCGGAUAUGAGCUCCUCCUGCAUGGUGGGGGUUGGAAAGUUUCGGCGGUUGGGGAUGGACUCGCCGCUUAUCAGCUUGUUGGUGGGGUAGUGGCUUACCAAGGCUCUGACGGGUAGCCCGCCUGCGAGGGUGACCGACCACCUUGGGACUGUGAUACUGCCCAGCCUCGUACGGGAGGCCGCAGUUGCGAAUAUUCCACAAGGGGCGGAAGCACGAUGGAACAACGCCGCCUGCGCGAUGACGGCUUUCGGGUUGUCACCCGCUUUCGCCUGUGACGAAGCGUGAGUGCCGGUACUGGGUAAAGAAGCACCCGCUAACCACGUC
rnacentral:rRNA from 1 species